rnacentral:rRNA from 1 species
UGGGGAAUAUUGGACAAUGGGCGAAAGCCUGAUCCAGCCAUGCCGCGUGUGUGAAGAAGGUCUUCGGAUUGUAAAGCACUUCAAGUUGGGAGGAAGGGCAGUAAGCGAAUACCUUGCUGUUUUGACGUUACCGACAGAAUAAGCACCGGCUAACUCUGUGCCAGCAGCCGCGGUAAUACAGAGGGUGCAAGCGUUAAUCGGAAUUACUGGGCGUAAAGCGCGCGUAGGUGGUUCGUUAAGUUGAAUGUGAAAGCCCCGGGCUCAACCUGGGAAAUGCAUCCAAAACUGGCGAGCUAGAGUAGGGCAGAGGGUGGUGGAAUUUCCUGUGUAGCGGUGAAAUGCGUAGAUAUAGGAAGGAACACCAGUGGCGAAGGCGACCACCUGGGCUCAUACUGACACUGAGGUGCGAAAGCGUGGGGAGCAAACAGG